rnacentral:rRNA from 1 species
GAUGAACGCUGCCGGCGUGCCUAAUACAUGCAAGUCGAGCGAACAGACGAGGAGCUUGCUCCUCUGACGUUAGCGGCGGACGGGUGAGUAACACGUGGAUAACCUACCUAUAAGACUGGGAUAACUUCGGGAAACCGGAGCUAAUACCGGAUAAUAUAUUGAACCGCAUGGUUCAAUAGUGAAAGACGGUUUUGCUGUCACUUAUAGAUGGAUCCGCGCCGCAUUAGCUAGUUGGUAAGGUAACGGCUUACCAAGGCAACGAUGCGUAGCCGACCUGAGAGGGUGAUCGGCCACACUGGAACUGAGACACGGUCCAGACUCCUACGGGAGGCAGCAGUAGGGAAUCUUCCGCAAUGGGCGAAAGCCUGACGGAGCAACGCCGCGUGAGUGAUGAAGGUCUUCGGAUCGUAAAACUCUGUUAUUAGGGAAGAACAAAUGUGUAAGUAACUAUGCACGUCUUGACGGUACCUAAUCAGAAAGCCACGGCUAACUACGUG